rnacentral:rRNA from 1 species
GGGUCAGUAGGUUGGUCGUGCCACCGGUACGUACUGGUCUCACUGAUUCCUCCUUCCUGAAGAACCGUAAUGCCAUUAAUUUGGUGUUGCGGGGAAACAGGACUGUUACUUUGAAAAAAUUAGAGUGUUUAAAGCGAGCUAACGCUUGAAUACAUUAGCAUGGAAUAAUGGAAUAGGACGAUCGAUCCUAUUUUGUUGGUUUCUAGGAUUGACGUA